CUUCAUUUUCUUUCAUUUAGCAAUGUUUUUAUUUCAUCUUCAUUCUUGAUGGAUAUUUUCACUGGAUAAAGAAUUCUGGACUGAUAGCUUUUUUAUUUCAGUGCUUUAAAAAUGUUUUUCCACUUCACUCUGGUUUCUACAAUCUCUGAUGAGAAAUUCUCAGUCAUUUGAAUAGUUGUUUUCCUACAAGCAGGGUUUUUCAGCCUUAGCAGCACUGAUAUUUGGGGCCAGAAAUUCUUGUGGGAGGCUUUCUUGUACAAUGCAGGAAACUUAGAGGCAUUCAUUGCUUCUGCCCACUAGAUGUCAGUAGCACCUAUCCCCGGCCAUCACAAUAAAACAUGUCUCUAGACUUUGCUAGAUGUCCCUGGGUUGUUUCAGAAGACAAAAUCAGACCCGUUGAGAAUCACUGCUACAGAGGAAGAAUGAGGACAAUAGACCAAUGGAUACAGGAUGGUGCCUGUGAAGUACAUCUACAGAGAAAUCCUCUCUAGCAAGGCUCAUCCAGGACACCUACCUGCAUUUUUCCAUCAAGGUUGAAACAAACACUGCUUGUUCGCAAAGGAGUAGACAUUUACUCCAAAAAUAUAUUUGCCUUCCUUGCCUGAAAUGCUUCUGCCAAACCCACCAUCUGUGAACUUGAGGAAUGCCUUACUCAUGAUCAUGUUAUUACAUACUCCUGACCAAGGAAUUCAUUUUACCAAACAUAAAGUGCAGAGAUACUCAUGAAAUGUAUUGCUCUUAUCAUGAUCUUCAUCACUCUAAAGCAACUGGCCUGAAACAAAGGUGAAAUGAGCUUUUGAAGCGUCAACUGAGUGACUAAAUUUUGUGAAGCUAGGAUAACAUUCUCCACAAUGUGGCAUAUGGCCUCCAUCAGCAACCAAUCUAUGACCCUGUUUCUCUCAUAGUCGAGAUUCAUAAAUCCAGAAAACAAAGGAUAAACAGGAGUGACUCUUCUUACUGUUACUCCUAAAGAUAUAGUUACAUGCUAUUACUGCCCAUUCUCAACACCUUUGGACUCUGCUGGCCUAGAAGUCUUAGUUUUCAAGGGAUAAAUGUUUCUACAAAGGUCUAUAGCAAUAGUUUCAUUAAACCCAAAGCCAAGACUCUUAGCUGGCGUCUUUGGGCUCCUCAUAUUCAACAGACAAAAAGAGCACUGGUGUUUGGCCUGAGGUGAUGGAUUCUGAUUAUCUAGAAUAAAUCGGGCUGCUAACACACAAUGGGAAUAAAGAAAAGUAUGUCCGGAAAGCAGGUGGUCCUCUGGGUUACCUCUUAAUAUUCCCAUUCCCAGUGAGUAAAGCCACUGGAAAAUGAAAACAAUCUAAUACAUGGGGGACUCUCAUGGCUUAGACCUGUGGCCCCCAACCUUUUUGGCACCAGGGACCAGAUUUGUGGAAGAUACUGUUUCAGUGGACUUAUGGGGUGGGAGAUGGUUUUGGGAUGAAACUGUUCCACCUCAUAUCAUCAGGCAUUAGAGUGUCACAAGGAGUAUGCAACCUGGAUCCCUCACAUGUGCAGUUCACAAUAGGGUUUGCAAUCCUAUGAGAAUCUAAUGCCGCCACCGAUCUGACAGGAGGCAAAGCUCAAGCGGUAGUGCUUGCCUGCCACUCACCUCGUGCUGUGUGUCCCAGUUCCUAACAGGCCAUGGACCAGGGGUUGAGGACCCCGGCCUACACCAAAUUAUAACAAGCUUAAGACAAAGAGUAGUAGAAAAAGGUAAUUAUAAAUACUAUGCAUGACCAUAUGACCAGUGGCAGAAAUGAGCACUGUAAUACUUAUGAAUGUUUUCCUUAUUUUAAUAUGCAAAUACUUGUGUGUAUAUUAAUUUUUUUUUCUCUUUUCCUUUUACAUUUGCCUAACAUCUAACAUAAAAAGUAUUAAAAGUAAUUAAUCUUGUAUGAUAGCGUUUAAUUUGUAAGAUAUCAAAGAAGGAAUGUGACUCAGGUAGAAGGGUAAUAAAAGUCACUCAAGAGGCCUGGCGUGGUGGCUCACACCUGUAAUCCCACCACUUUGGUCAAGGCUGGUGAGGCGGGUGGAUCACGAGGUCAGGAGACAGAAACCAUCCUGGCUAACACGGUGAAACCCCGUCUCUACUAAAAAUACAAAAAAGCUGGGCGUCAUGGCAGGCGCCUGUAGUCCCAGCUACUCGGGAGACUGAGGCAGGAGAAUGGUGUGAACCCAGGAGGCAUAGCUUGCAGGGAGCCAAGAUCGCGCCACUGCACUCCAGCCUGGGCCACAAAGCAAGACUCCGUCUCAAAAAAAAAAAGUCUAGAAUGAAUAAGUAGAUUUUGUGUCUUAUUUGAGGAGAAAGUUGUACAAAGGACAAUUUCAUUAUGUUAUAGGGAAGCAUGACUUUGCUAUUGUCUUAAGGUAGAAGUUAUGUUAAGUGCAGUUAACAGAGUUGUACAUAAAUAUGACAUUGACAGGGAGAAUUAUAGUGGGAUUGUAUUGUGCCAGUUUAACAAAGAUAGAAGUACAUUUCCCAGAAAUCCCUUCCCUUUAUCAUUCUGGUUUAGUGUGAACCAGAUGUUUUUGGUAAAUAUUAGAGGCUAGUAGUGAAAUAACAGUUGUCUUUUUACAUUCAAGAGGCCAAAUGAGGUCACCAGGCAUGAGGAAGUUUUUGUGUUCUUUUGUAAAAACCUGGAAAUCUGAAGUUAAAUAUGCGUAUCAGAUUAUUAUUCUCAUACACUGUACAAUUCAAAGAAAUGAUAUUUCAUCAAUUUUAAGAAAACAAAAUACUGUGAAUUUUGUCAUUAUUAAACCAAAUAUGAUGCCUGUACAGCUGUAGAAAACACAUUUUAGUGGGAACUGACAAAAGCCAAUUACUUCAUUUCAUUAAAAAACCAUAUACCUUUUCUUACCAUUUAAAAAAAUGCAAGAAUGAUCAUUUUAUAAAUAUUCUAUGAAUCAUCAAUCCUACCAUUUUAAAGUAGUUUGUAAUUUAGAAAGUUAGUUUAGUGUUUAAGUAUUUCUUAAAUUUUAAGCCCUAUUUCCAUUAUCAUUAUUAGUUUUUGCAUCCUACUUUGGAAAAACUAAUAUGUUUUAAAGAAUUCUAUCCUUACACUGGCCAUUCAAACAACAAAAUUUUUUCAACAUUUUGAUUUAUUUUUUCCUCUCUAAGUAUGUCACCCUGGAUAAAAAUGCUAUUAAUGUCCAGAUUAAGGCAUAAAAGUAUGGACUUGGCACCUGAUAGCAGUUAUCUUUUCCAGUUCAAAAUUAUAUUCCCUUCUAAAUUUGCAUUAUAGUGUGAACAAAUGGACAGUCAGCCAAUAAAUGGUUUGUUAUUGUAUUUAUAAUCUUAGAAAGCACAAUGAUCCCAUAAAUUUAAAUUUGACAUUCUUGGGCAACAGCUGAAAUCUGUUCACUUGUCAAUAAUGUUAUCAUUAUAUGGAAGCUAUACAAUUCAGAUAAGACAAAGAUGGUAUAACACAGAGAAAAGCCUGGAAGACAAUUAUAGUGACACACUUUUUAAAAUCAGAAAACAAAAAAUAAGUUGUUUGAUGAAACAGUCAAAUAAGACAUUGUGACUUAUUGUCACAAUAUUUAAAAACCAUCUUUAAAUAUCAAAUGAAAUUUUACUUUGGGGAACAUGCCUUUAUAUCUUUUUAAAAUUAUAUUUUGCCACUUGCUUUAGCAGGUAACAAUACAAGUUGUAAUUAUACAUAGCAAAUUAAAAAUUUGAGAAAAUAAGACUUGAACUUAAGAUUCUAAUCUGUGUUAGUACAUUCAUUUAUUGAAAAUUAUGUUCGAUUUCUCUUUCAGUUGGCAAAAGUAUGUGGUGAAGCGAUGAGAAUACAGUCAUCAAGUGAUUCUUUAUUAGAGCUAUAUAACAUCUUAAAAGACAUUAAAAUAAUCUUCAAAUUGACAACCAUUCUGCAAUUAAUUACACUUGGAAAUAUAUCACGUUUAGAUCCAAGUGCAAAGUAUUCUGUGCCAUGUAUUAUGUAUUGACUCAAUUACAUCACAUACUAAAUGCAAUCAUUGGAUUUAUUUUUCUAAAAUUAUCCUUUAGAAAAUGGGUCCCCAAACCCCAGGCCAUGGACUAGUACCUGUUCAUGGCCUGUUAGGAACUGGGCUGCACAGCAGGAAGUGAGGGGGAGGCAAGCAAACAUUACCACCUGAGCUCUGCCUCCUGUCAGACCAGUAGCAGCAUUAUUGUGAACUCCGCAUGCGAGGGAUCAGUUGCAUGCUUCUUAUGGGAAUCUAAUUAAUGCCUCAUGAUCUGAGGUGGAAUAGUUUCAUCCUGAAACCAGCCUCUACCAUAAUCUGUGGAAAAAAUAUCUUUCAUGAAACCAGUCUCUGGUGCCAAAAUGGUUGGGAACUGCUGCUUUAGAAUACAUACAGACUACAGAAUUUAGAAGAAUGCCUAGAAUGUUUAGGAAAUGAAUAACAAUGUAAUUUGUAGCCCCUUAUAGUUGAAAUUAUUUUAAAAUAAAUUAUCCUUAUUAGUUUCUUGAACUAGUAACUGUGUAUGAUAGUUUCCUCACAUGCAUAUCAAAAAAUCUCAACCAUGUGUUGUACAUGAAAGACACUGCAGUUAAGAGAGAUGGAUUCAAUAGUAUUAUUUUUACUAAAUUUAUAAGCCCUUCCAUGGCACUUUGAUUUCCAGUACCUCUUAGUAGAAGGGAUGUACUUUCCGUUCCUUUGAAACCAGGCUUGACACAGGAGUUUCUUUGGUAAAGGGAAUGUAAGCAUCCAUCACUCAAUGGAAUGUCCAACAGAAGCUUUAUGAACUAUCUCAUAGUUUUACAAAGAUUCUUCUUUUCCAUUUGCCAUAAUAACAAGUUAUAGAUAAAGAUUAGUCCAUUAGCCUGGAUCUACAAAAGAAGAGGAUAUGUAAAACAAAAUUGAGCAGGGACAAGCAAAGCCAAAGCUAUGUCCUGAGUAAAGGUAAUGAGAAAGAAAUAGCUUUUUUUGUUGUUGUUGUAUGACACAGUUACUAAAUCAUUUGCUUCCAAACAUUCCUAUUUUAUUUAUAUUUUUAUUAAACUCCAUAGUAGAUUUUAUCUAUUUUCAUCUGUUUAUAUAAUUAUAUAUUUUCCCCUUUUUAAUGUAUUGAUUGAGUGGGUUAUGCUGCUACAAUUCCUUAAUUAUAACAAUAUUCUUGGAAUAAAUACUACUUAGUUAUAGUGUGCUAUUCUUUUGAGAUUUAAUCAUUUUAAAAUGAUUAAAAGCUGGAUUUACAUGAUUGUAUUUUCACUGGGAUUCUAUAUUAUAGUAAUAAGCUAAAUUAGGUUUGUGGUAUUAAAUAUGGUGAAAAUAA